CUCGCUGCAUAAGCUAGUUUGAAGCCGUUAGCCCAGAUGCCGCUCUCGGUCUGGAAUCUAGCGUCGAUAGAGGGCUUUUCAUCGCAUAGGUGUUACGAACUAUGCGAGAGAACAGUUUCGUAACUGAGUCUGUCGAAGAGUUGUGUGGGAAAACUUCGAGACUGAGAAAGCGUUAAUCACACUACGCCCGUAGAAGCCCUGUUUUUGCACCGAAGGACCCGGGUUCGAUUCCCGGCACCUCCACCA
rnacentral:tmRNA from 1 species